CGCCCUUGAGUUUGAUCCUGGCUCAGGACGAACGCUGGCGGCGUGCCUAAUACCUGCAAGUCGAGCGGACCAAGGGGAAAGCUUGCUUUCCCCGGCGUUAGCGGCGGACGGGUGAGUAACACGUAGGCAACCUGCCUGCAAGACCGGGAUAACCGUCGGAAACGAUGGCUAAGACCGGAUACGCGGUUUUCUCGCAUGGGAGAAUCGGGAAAGGCGGCGAAAGCUGUCGCUUGCAGAUGGGCCUGCGGCGCAUUAGCUAGUUGGGGAGGUAACGGCUCCCCAAGGCGACGAUGCGUAGCCGACCUGAGAGGGUGAUCGGCCACACUGGGACUGAGACACGGCCCAGACUCCUACGGGAGGCAGCAGUAGGGAAUCUUCCGCAAUGGACGCAAGUCUUAUUUUUCAACGCCGCGUGAGUGAUGAAGGUUUUCGGAUCGUAAAGCUCUGUUGCCAGGGAAGAACGGAUGGGGGAGUCACUGCCCCUGUCAUGACGGUACCUGAGAAGAAAGCCCCGGCUAACUACGUGC
rnacentral:rRNA from 1 species